GACUGGAGCAAAGAGAGCAAAAAAAGCACUUGCUAAAUGGAGGACUACUUUGAGAUGGCUGCUAUUCUCCGGCUUAUUGCCUCCUGUCGGCCAUGGUUUCACAUGAGGUCCGGGGUGUCAGGUCCGCUUCCACCAAUAAAGGCUGUGAUUGACACUAGCGGGAGAGACUUGAGCUGGGAAAAGAAACUGAAUCUCAAUGUAUGAGGGUUGGAGGCUGGGGACAAGAUAACGAUUAGGAAGCUGUUUCCCUGAACAUGCUGAGAGAGAUGCAAAACCAGACGCUUGAGGCAAACUGCAGAGAAGUCACCAUACAUGUCCCUCAUGGAAGAAGACCUAAGAUUACCUCAUUAUGGCCUAUAAAAUGUUCUACCUUUGGAUGCUUUUGGAAUACUUUCAAUGUAAGGAAUGCAUCUUACAUAUAUCUCACUUUGAGAUCUGAGGGUUUAUGAUCUCACGGUUUAAAAGUAGAUAAAAAUAGCUUUAAAUCAGCUGUUGUUAUAGGUCACUCAGGGCACUUCCUGUUUUCCUCUGUUAAAACUAUCUCUGUGCACCAUUAUGUGUGGAAGUGGAGGCACAGCUUUCUCUGAAUGUGCUGAAUGAGACUAUAGCUUAUAUAGUGGCUAUAUAUAUAGUGGCCUCAGAAAUUUUCAAAUGCUUUUUCCAAAUACAUAUCACUCAUUUGAACUAAUUUGGGCAUAAAAUGUCCAUUAUGCCCAGUAGAGAUGAUCUAGAGACUGCAAAACAAAAGAACGAGAUAAUUUCAGGUGCUCUUUAGAUUUGUGGUUUACAAUGUGAUGAUAAAAUUAUAUUAUUAAAUGCCAUAAUAAUAUAAGAUUAUGCAAUAGCCUAAAAAGUGUUUGAACUUAAACUAGAACUAAAAAUGUGUUAAUUCCUUUGAACUACAACAAAAUAUAUGAAGUGCCAUUUUCAACAACAUUUUUUCUUUUUAAAGCAGUCAAUUUUUAUUUAUAAAACAAUAAAUAUACAGUAUUGUUAAUGAUAACA
ensembl:lncRNA